GUUCUCCUCUCUUUGUCAGCACCUAUACUAAAAUUGGGACGAUACAGAGGAGACUAGCAUGGUCCCUGCACAAGGAUGACGCGCAAGUUCGUGAAGCUUCCGUAUUUCUG
ensembl:snRNA U6 U6 spliceosomal RNA